rnacentral:misc_RNA from 1 species
AACUGAUACUACCUGCGGGAACCUGCGGAAGGAUCAUUACCGAGUUUACAACUCCCAAACCCAUGUGAACAUACCUAUCGUUGCUUCGGCGGGAUCGCCCCGGGCGCCUUGUGUGCCCCGGAUCCAGGCACCCGCCGGGGGACCUUAACUCUUGUUUUAUUUAGAAUCUUCUGAGUAGUUUUUACAAAUAAAUAAAAACUUUUAACAAUGGAUCUCU